GACAGAGGGUGCAAACGUUGUUCGGAUUUACUGGGCGUAAAGCGCGUGUAGGCGGCUUUGCAAGUCGGAUGUGAAAGCCCACGGCUCAACCGUGGAAGUGCAUCCGAAACUGCAUGGCUGGAGUCUCGGAGAGGAAGGUGGAAUGCUUGGUGUAGAGGUGAAAUUCGUAGAUAUCAAGCAGAACACCUGCGGCGAAGGCGGCCUUCUGGACGAUGACUGACGCUGAGGCGCGAAAGCCAGGGGAGCGAACGGG
rnacentral:rRNA from 1 species